AUUGAACGCUGGCGGCAGGCCUAACACAUGCAAGUCGAACGGUAACAGGAAGCAGCUUGCUGCUUCGCUGACGAGUGGCGGACGGGUGAGUAAUGUCUGGGAAGCUGCCUGAUGGAGGGGGAUAACUACUGGAAACGGUAGCUAAUACCGCAUAAUGUCGCAAGACCAAAGAGGGGGACCUUCGGGCCUCUUGCCAUCGGAUGUGCCCAGAUGGGAUUAGCUUGUUGGUGGGGUAACGGCUCACCAAGGCGACGAUCCCUAGCUGGUCUGAGAGGAUGACCAGCCACACUGAGACUGAGACACGGUCCAGACUCCUACGGGAGGCAGCAGUGGGGAAUAUUGCACAAUGGGCGCAAGCCUGAUGCAGCCAUGCCGCGUGUAUGAAGAAGGCCUUCGGGUUGUAAAGUACUUUCAGCGGGGAGGAAGGGAGUAAAGUUAAUACCUUUGCUCAUUGACGUUACCCGCAGAAGAAGCACCGGCGAACUCCGG
rnacentral:rRNA from 1 species